AGAGCUGGCUGAGACGGGUUGCUGGGGUUGUAUAACUGUGCCUGGAGGGCGGGGUUCCUGUACAUUCCUACUUCACCAGAUAACCUGCCCCCAACACCACUGCAGCUUCUGCCAGACAGAUGGAACUCUGCAGCGUGAAAAUCUGCGCAGCCAUUCCACCAAGCAGGACUGCCUGGUGUUGGCCGAAGGAUGCUGAAGAAAAAGAUUUAAGGACUGGGACGCUCUUACCCCAAGAUUGGAUGAAGAUGGAAUCCAUUUCAGUCUGAAAUGUGUUUCAUGGCUGCAGUCGGGCAUUCCUCUGAUUUCUUGUUUCACUGGUUAGAUGGACGAUCCAUUCCGGCCCAACUCAAGUAUUCUAAUAAAGACUCCCUUGGUCUAAUAUGAGGUUUCUCAUUGGUCAGUAUCAUGGAGGUUGACAGUCUGAUAGCCCCCUACACAUCAAAGCAUAUCUACUCAUCCGUGUGCUGUUGUCAAUCCGAGGUUUCCAAAUAUGUGUUCUUCAACUCAAAGAAAAGUAGCUGGAUCCAGGCAUCUCCAGAGAAAGCUGCUUCAGCAUUUUUCUUGUUUUUUGUUUUUGGAAUACCUCUUUCUACAGGAGUCUCCAGACUCUAAAGUAAUAGAAUAGUUCCUAAGUCCAUCCAGCUCUUUCCCAUGUCUGAAUUCUUGACCCUCUUUCCCACCCCUUGGCUCACAGAUAAAAAAGAAACAACAGUAAAGGAAUAAAAAUUGUU